UACGGAGGAUCCAAGCGUUAUCCGGAAUCAUUGGGUUUAAAGGGUCCGUAGGCGGUUUUGUAAGUCAGUGGUGAAAGCCCAUCGCUCAACGGUGGAACGGCCAUUAAUACUGCAAGACUUGAAUUAUUGGGAAGUAACUAGAAUAUGUAGUGUAGCGGUGAAAUGCUUAGAGAUUACAUGGAAUACCAAUUGCGAAGGCAGGUUACUACCAAUAUAUUGACGCUGAUGGACGAAAGCGUGGGGAGCGAACAGG
rnacentral:rRNA from 1 species